UAUUGGCCUGGUUCACUCAGA
rnacentral:miRNA from 9 species